rnacentral:rRNA from 1 species
AGUGCGGUAGGGGAGACUGGAAUUCCCGGUGUAACGGUGGAAUGUGUAGAUAUCGGGAAGAACACCAAUGGCGAAGGCAGGUCUCUGGGCCGUCACUGACGCUGAGGAGCGAAAGCGUGGGGAGCGAACAGGAUUAGAUACCCUGGUAGUCCACGCCGUAAACGGUGGAUGCUGGAUGUGGGGCCCUUUCCACGGGUCCCGUGUCGGAGCCAACGCGUUAAGCAUCCCGCCUGGGGAGUACGGCCGCAAGGCUAAAACUCAAAGAAAUUGACGGGGGCCCGCACAAGCGGCGGAGCAUGCGGAUUAAUUCGAUGCAACGCGAAGAACCUUACCUGGGCUUGACAUGUGCCGGAUCGCCCCGGAAACGGGGUUUCCCUUCGGGGCCGGUUCACAGGUGGUGCAUGGUCGUCGUCAGCUCGUGUCGUGAGAUGUUGGGUUAAGUCCCGCAACGAGCGCAACCCUCGCCGCAUGUUGCCAGCGGGUGAUGCCGGGAACUCAUGUGGGACCGCCGGGGUCAACUCGGAGGAAGGUGGGGAUGACGUCAGAUCAUCAUGCCCCUUACGUCCAGGGCUUCACGCAUGCUACAAUGGCCGGUACAACGCGAUGCGACACGGUGACGUGGGGCGGAUCGCUGAAAACCGGUCUCAGUUCGGAUCGCAGUCUGCAACUCGACUGCGUGAAGGCGGAGUCGCUAGUAAUCGCGGAUCAGCAACGCCGCGGUGAAUGCGUUCCCGGGCCUUGUACACACCGCCCGUCAAGUCAUGAAAGUGGGUAG